UGAUGCUUUGCGCGGCAGUACGGUGGCCGGUUGACAUUUAGGAUGUCGUUUAAACGGGACGGAGACGAUGGCAGUCAGCUGAACGUGUUAAAAAAAAGGAGGGUCGCCGACCUACUGGCCGGUUUCAUCCCCGAGGACGAGGCGCUGCUCCUUAAUAAUGGAAGGUACGCCUGCACCGUGUGUCACCACAGGCCGGUCUUCAAUACCAUCGAUAUGCUG